rnacentral:rRNA from 1 species
AUGGACCUGGACGGCUUUCCACUUGACCACGAGUUUCCGGAUGACUACGGGCAAGAGGAAGAAGACGAGCGCGACAUUGAAGUGGAGCCUUUGUUUGAGGACGAGCUCACCAACCAAGCCGCUGGGCCAAAGCCGAAGCGCAAGAACAAGCCCACGAAGGCAUACACGGCGGCCAAGGACAAACUUCUUUGCGAGUGUUGGAGGGACAUUGGACAAGACCCCAAGACUGGCGCCGAACAAAAGCAUUCAACUUUUUGGAUUCGUGUCCACCGGGAGUUUCAUGAGCGCAAGAAGUUUCCUCCUUACCAAACUGCGAGCACGCGUGGGUGGGUGUCCAUUUCAAAGCGA